rnacentral:lncRNA from 1 species
ACUGCCCCACUAAGGAAGAAUCUUGGAAACAGAAAGCCAGAAGAACCAGUGGGCUCUGCCCAGCCACCAUUGGUCCAUAUUUGCUCCGACAUCACAAUGAAGCAUCGUAGGACAUCAUAGAUACCUGUUCACUUACAGAUCUGCCUGAGACUGUCUCCUGUUCCUACAGUACUGAAGUUGGCAUUUGGUUGAAAAGCUACUAGAGUCCGAUGUUGCUGGGAGAUUCUACUGGAACUUCCAGGAGGUUUUAAACAUUGACAUAGUGCAUUUAUCUCCACUUUGGUGACUUUGAUUUAUCUUUUUCAUAGUGAUUUGCAUAUUUGCUGUCUUGAUUUAUGCAUUUAAAUUUUCCAUAUUCUUUAUUAUCUUCCACACUACUUUUUCUUAAUUUUAAGUUGUGUUUGAUAAGUUAGAGAAUUUUAUUUUCAUUUAUAUGUAUAAGUAUUUUGCCUUUAUGUAUGUUUGAGCACCAUGUUCCUGGUGUCUUCCGUGGAGGUCAGAAGAGGAAAUCAGAUUUUCUGGAACUGGAGUAGGACAUGGUUGUGAGUUCCUAUCCCACACCUGGAAUUAAAACAAUAACAUGUUCACUUACCGUAAUUGGGUUUUUUAACAAACCCAAACUCUUAUUAAAACUACCAGUAGUUGCACUUCCAGAAAAUCUGAUGCCCUAUACUGACCUUCAAAGGUCAUAAAUAAUAUUAUAUAAAGAGGUUUGUAUAACUUUUUAAAGUGAUGUAUUGUGCCUGUGACUGUGCUGUGUAUGGAUGCCCUAUAGGCCAGAAGUAUACGAUCUUCUAGAACUGGAUUUAGGGUACUUGUGGACUACCUGACCUGUAUCCCAAGAACCAAAUGCAGGUCCUCUUCAGAAAUCAUAGACAUUGUGGACUCCAAGCUCCUCAGCCUGGACCCAGUGAGUUUUGAAGUGUCUGUUGUAUCAUCAACUCCUCUUGAACCUGAUUUUCUUGGUGUGUUGGUUCACAGUGAAUGCUGAGAUCAGGGGAGAGGAAGGCUGUCCUUUUCAAUGAAUAGUUCUUACUGUCUGUGAGCCUUUGUUUGCAGUUGAUCCCUGUCAACAUGAUCUGACUCACAGUUUGCAUCUACUGCUUUAUAAGGUAUUUCAUUGUCUUCCCAAGCAUUCAAUGUGCUAGACUAGGUUGUCUGACAUUUUUUUUUACUUUUUAUUAUAUUUAUUAAUUCGUGACUGUGACAACUACCCCAUUUUCCAAGAAAGUUUUCUCUUGAUACUGCUACAGUGUGCUGCAGUAUCAUGGUAAGGGGCUGUAAGUGGCAUGAAACAUAAGGACCACAAUUUUUAACUGCAAGCCAUGAUGGUGUGUAAUGAUUAAAUGAAAAUAUUUGUUAUGGAUGGUCAGAUGAAGAUUCCAAAAUAUCAUAUCUAAGGUAUUUUCAAUUGUUUCUCCUGUCUUCUUGCAGUAUUUGUGGCUAUAAACAUUGUCUUGUGCAUGAUUUUAAAUGUCCCAUUUUUAAUUCCUCAUUGCAAUUUUGGUUCCAGUCAUAUCAUGAAUGGAGUGAUCAUGGAGCAGGACAAGCUGGCCUGCUCCUGUAUUGAUGAGAACUUCACAACUAACUAUAAGAUGUUGGCCACCCUGGUUGAAGGGAACUUUUUAGAGGUCUAACUGGAUUUCCAUGUCCCCACACUGAUCUGUGUGGCUGUAAACAUUUUCCAAAACGUCAAGAUAUAUGUCUUGCUUUUCUGCAGGAAAAUCAGCAAUGUGAAAUCACUUGACCAUCCUAACUUUAUCAAGCUGUUUCACAUGGUCAGACAAGAGAAAACACCUACCAGUUGAAGGAUAAUGCCUUGGAUGGAGAGACACUAGAACAAGUCAUUGAAGAGACAUAAAGACCAGCAAGCUGUUAAUCGACAGCAGUAGGAACGCCAAGCUGUGUGAUUUUGGCCUGGGCAGAAGCUAGCAGAUUUCUGGGACACACUUCCUUACAGUGCCCCAGAAUUUUAGCAAGCACAGGAACAUGAGAGCUGCCCUGUGGAUAUCUGGAGUUUAGGGGUCCUCCUGUUCUUCAAGGUGGCCAGGAUCUCACCUUUCUGAGGCAAGUAUUUUGCAGGUGUGAAACUGCAGAUUAUCAAGCACCACAAACUUUAGCAUUCCUUUUUAUGUUUCCAUUUAUUUUUUAAGGUCAUCAUUGAACUAUUGAUUGUCAAUUCCAGAAGAAAUCCCACCAUCCACAAAAUCAUGAUGUGCCUCAUGAUUAGUGAAAGUGAGGCAUGUUUAUUACCUCCUUCCUGUGUAUUUCUGCUUUGAAGUUUUGAAGAGGACCAGAAGCCAGGCAGUAGGAAUGUACAGGCUCUUUUAACAAUUUGAUGGUAAAUAUAAUCCCUGUAUCAGCACCUGAUUGAAACAUUCUAAGUCCCCAAGUGUAUCCAUGUGUCCAAUCCUGGUUUCAAACCGUGGAGGUAAAUUUAAUAUUUAGGGGGAUGCACCAUCCCCUUGUUUUAGAAUUAGAACCUCUACAACGGGAAUCUGGGACAUGUAUAUUUGAGGGACGAGAGCUAUUAUAAGUCAAACAACACAGUGUAUUAGGUGAUAAAAUUCUUAAGAACAGGAGAAAGGGGCCAGGCAAGAAAGCUAGAGGGUGGCCUGUUGAGAGCUGGUGGAACAACCAGAUCAGGUGACAAAUAGCAUUCAGUCACACAGCUAAACAAAUGAGGAAGCUUUCUUGGGACAAAAAGGCCAGUGCAAAAAGAAGCGCAAGCUUUGUGCCUGUGAAACAGAAAGGCAAGCACAUACACCUCUUGCACACUCACACCUGUAUACCCCUUAUUGAUUCUGUGAGACUGGUGUCCAGUCAGCUCUAAGAUCUGUCUGUCUCCCUCAUAAUCCACGAUACUGAGGUUACAGACACAUUGGCACCACGCAUAAUUUGCAGGUGGGUUCUGGGCAUUUGAACUCAGGUCCUCAUGCUUGCACAAAAGUCAUUUCACCACUGAACCAUCUCUUCUGUCCCUCUAAUUUGUUGACUUUAGACAAAAACCUGGCAGCUUAAAACAAAGGUUUUGCAUAACACAUUCUUCCACCAGCAGGCUGUCAAGAUUUUUCCAGCCUUUUGAUUAUUUAAUAGGUAGAGAAAAUGAAGCUGACCAAGUCUCCUAAAUGGUAAC